rnacentral:rRNA from 1 species
GGUACCUGACUAAGAAGCCCCGNCUAACUACGUGCCAGCAGCCGCGGUAAUACGUAGGGGGCAAGCGUUAUCCGGAUUUACUGGGUGUAAAGGGAGCGUAGACGGCGAAGCAAGUCUGAAGUGAAAGCCCGGGGCUUAACCCCGGGACUGCUUUGGAAACUGUUUUGCUAGAGUGCUGGAGAGGUAAGUGGAAUUCCUAGUGUAGCGGUGAAAUGCGUAGAUAUUAGGAGGAACACCAGUGGCGAAGGCGGCUUACUGGACAGUAACUGACGUUGAGGCUCGAAAGCGUGGGGAGCAAACAGGAUUAGAUACCCUGGUAGUCCACGCGGUAAACGAUGAAUGCUAGGUGUUGGGGAGCAAAGCUCUUCGGUGCCGUCGCAAACGCAAUAAGCAUUCCACCUGGGGAGUACGUUCGCAAGAAUGAAACUUAAAGGAAUUGACGGGGACCCGCACAAGCGGUGGAGCAUGUGGUUUAAUUCGAAGCAACGCGAAGAACCUUACCAAGUCUUGACAUCCUUCUGACCGGCGCGUAACGGCGCCUUCUCUUCGGAGCAGGAGAGACAGGUGGUGCAUGGUUGUCGUCAGCUCGUGUCGUGAGAUGUUGGGUUAAGUCCCGCAACGAGCGCAACCCUUAUCCUUAGUAGCCAGCAGUAAGAUGGGCACUCUAGGGAGACUGCCAGGGAUAACCUGGAGGAAGGUGGGGAUGACGUCAAAUCAUCAUGCCCCUUAUGAUUUGGGCUACACACGUGCUACAAUGGCGUAAACAAAGGGAAGCGAAGCCGCGAGGUGAAGCAAAUCCCAAAAAUAACGUCCCAGUUCGGAUUGUAGGCUGCAACUCGCCUGCAUGAAGCUGGAAUCGCUAGUAAUCGCGAAUCAGAAUGUCGCGGUGAAUACGUUCCCGGGUCUUGUACACACCGCCCGUCACACCAUGGGAGUCGAUAACGCCCGAAGUCAGUG